rnacentral:rRNA from 1 species
UACGGAGGAUGCAAGCGUUAUCCGGAAUGAUUGGGCGUAAAGCGUCCGCAGGUGGCUAUGUAAGUCUGCUGUUAAAGAGUCUAGCUCAACUAGAUAAGAGCAGUGGAAACUACAAGGCUAGAGUACGUUCGGGGCAGAGGGAAUUCCUGGUGUAGCGGUGAAAUGCGUAGAGAUCAGGAAGAACACCAGUGGCGAAGGCGUUCUGCUAGACCUGUACUGGCACUGAGGGACGAAAGCUAGGGGAGCGAAUGGG